rnacentral:tRNA from 1 species
UGGGGCGUAGCCAAACCUGGCAAGGCAUGGGACUUUGGAUCCCACAUGUGAAGGUUCGAGUCCUUCCGCCCCAG